GCCAGUGUAGCUUAAACAAAGCAUAACACUGAAGAUGUUAAGAUGAGCCCUAAAAAGCUUCGCCGGCA
rnacentral:tRNA from 1 species